GCGAGGAAGAUUUGGAUGCAAGCACCCAUCUUUCAUGAGAGAGACCUAAGUUGUACAUUUGAAUUCUUCUCUGUUUAUACUCUGCCAAGUUAUCUCAAGCAUAUGAUUUUACUUUGGUACAGGUUGAUUAUAUUACUGGAUGCAUAUGCAUAAAUCAGAGGAUAAGCAGCGGAAGGACAAGUUGUAUUUUUCGAGAUGUACUCUUCUUUAUUUUACAUGUUAAAGCAUGGACCUUCUUGCUCAGGAAUGAUACAAUCAAUCCAACUGUUACCUUUGGGGUGCUUUUUGGAUGGACUAAUCUGAAGAUGUUGGCUAGCUUGCACCGCCAUCAUAUAAUCUAGAAGCAAGGGCAAGGAUUAUAGGGAAAAUAAAGGCAAUUCGCCAACCGGAGGAAAUGCCAACCAAUACAUUUUUGU